GAUGAAGAACGCAGCGAAAUGCGAUAAGUAAUGUGAAUUGCAGAAUUCAGUGAAUCAUCGAAUCUUUGAACGCACAUUGCGCCCGUCAGUAUUCUGGCGGGCAUGCCUGUUCGAGCGUCAUUACGCCCCUCAAGUCCCCUGUGGACUUGGUGUUGGGGAUCGGCGAGGCUGGUUUUCCAGCACAGCCGUCCCUUAAAUUAAUUGGCGGUCUCGCCGUGGCCCUCCUCUGCGCAGUAGUAAAACACUCGCAACAGGAGCCCGGCGCGGUCCACUGCCGUAAAACCCCCUAACUUUUUAUAGUUGACCUCGAAUCAGGUAGGACUACCCGCUGAACUUAAGCAUAUCAAUAAGCGGAGGA
rnacentral:misc_RNA from 1 species